GAGAAUGCUACAAGAACUGCUAAUUCCUGACCCCAUACCUAAACGUAUGGCUUUCU
rnacentral:tRNA from 1 species